UUUUCGUUCAAAUAAAUGUUUCAUUAUUAGUUGCUCUUUUUAACAUGCCGAUCCGUAUCCUUAUAAUUUUUUAGAAUCUUCAACCUCAAAAUGUCGCUUCAAAAUAGAAAAC